rnacentral:rRNA from 1 species
UUAGCUCAACUAAUGGGCUGCCGGAAAAACUGCAAAGCUAGGGAGUGGGAGAGGUAGACGGUACUCGGUAGGAAGGGGUAAAAUCCUUUGAUCUAUUGAUGACCACCUGUGGCGAAGGCGGUCUACCAGAACACGUUCGACGGUGAGGGAUGAAAGCUGGGGGAGCAAACCGGAUUAGAUACCCGGGUAGUCCCAGCUGUAAACGAUGCAGACUCGGUGAUGCGCUGGCUUGUGGCCAGUGCAGUGCCGCAGGGAAGCCGUUAAGUUUGCCGCCUGGGAAGUACGUACGCAAGUAUGAAACUUAAAGGAAUUGGCGGGGGAGCACCACAAGGGGUGAAGCCUGCGGCUCAAUUGGAGUCAACGCCAGAAAUCUUACCCGGAGAGACAGCAGAAUGAAGGUCAAGCUGAAGACUUUACCAGACAAGCUGAGAGGUGGUGCAUGGCCGUCGCCAGCUCGUGCCGUGAGAUGUCCUGUUAAGUCAGGUAACGAGCGAGAUCCCUGCCUCUAGUUGCCACCAUUACUCUCAGGAGUAGUGGGGCGAAUUAGCGGGACCGCCACAGUUAAUGUGGAGGAAGGAAGGGGCCACGGCAGGUCAGUAUGCCCCGAAACUCUGGGGCCACACGCGGGCUGCAAUGGUAGUGACAAUGAGUUCCGAAACCGAAAGGUGGAGGUAAUCUUCAAACGCUACCACAGUUAUGAUUGAGGGCUGCAACUCGCCCUCAUGAAUAUGGAAUCCCUAGUAACUG